AUAAUUMAAAGGRCGCGGUAWCCUYGACCGUGAUAAUGUAGCAUACUCAUUCGCCAUUUAAUUGAUGGAUAGUAUGAAUGGUUGAACGAAUAUUCCACUGUCUUAMAAAGAAAUMACAAAAAAUUAGAAUAAUAGURAAGAUUCUAUUUAAAAUUGUAAGACGAAAAGACCCUAUAGAGCUUAACUAUAAGUUYUCUAAUUAAUAUUAWAAGAAARKUUGGUAGUUUAGUUGGGGCGACUGUCUUUUAAAAAUAACAAAGACMAGCAAAAUUAACAUAAAAAUUUAUUGUAUAAUUAAUAAAUUUAACAAUUACAAAAGUAGGCUAUAAUGACCCGUUAUUAUUAUAUAAAAAAAAUAACGAUCAAUAAAUAAAAGCUACCUUAGGGAUAACAGGAUAAUUUUAUUYUAGAGAUCUAAUCGAAAAUAAAGUUUGUCACCUCUAUGUUGAAUUAAGA
rnacentral:rRNA from 1 species